GAGCUCACUUUGGUAGCACAUAUGCUAAAGUUAGAAUGAUGCAGUGAUUAGCAUGGUCCCUGAGCAAAGAUAACAUACACAUUUGUGAAGUGAAAGUAAAUGAU
ensembl:snRNA U6 U6 spliceosomal RNA